CAUCCAAGAAGCUUCUUCAGUUCUGACUAAAGAACUGAAGCAGCUUUCAGGAUGAGAAGCGAAAUGUUUUCAAAGAAAAAAAAUCUAAGAAAGUCCGAUUGCCUUUCAAAAAAAAGCACCUUCGGGACUACUAGAUACAAGGUGAACAAGGCAUCGGCCCAGCCUUACCUCUUUCUAAGAUGAUUGUAAGAAACAGAUCAUGUCUUCUCUCUGUUAGUAGCUAAAUCGGCUGGUUCUAACAGAAUUAAGUGCUAACUGGCAAUAGCUGGAUGUAAACUUCCUGUAAUUUCGCAUACUACUAUCACGUAAUUCAUUAAUGAAAGGGAAGAGAAGGAAA